UGGCAUUCUGGUUUUGUUUUUCUCAUGUAGGAUUUUGAUCCGGUAAAGCAUAUUUUGGAGAAUGUGCUGGAUGAUUAAAGUGAGCUAGCUUAUUUUGAGAAGGAGGUAUUAACUCCUCUCCGGGAAUUGAAUAUUGGUCAAGGCGGUUGAAGCCAGUUAUUGUUGAUCCAGGGCUCUAUCGUAUGGAGAAAACCAAUAUGUUUUUUGCUUCACAGAAACGGGAGUUGCCUAAGGCUUUUAAGUUAUUCUCAUGUCCAUCUUUCUCCAUCUUAAGCCGUAAUUUUAUAGAGCACUGUCUUCGGCACUGACAACUUCCCUCGGGCUCUACUCAUGUACUUGUCCAACACACCUUGUCUCAACUUCCCUUGGACUAGAAUAUUCAAUUUAUCUUGUCUCAUAGUGAUACUUUAUGUUAGAAAAUCUCAAUUGUGUGCUCCAGAUUCAACCUUUUGUAUAG